GACGAACGCUGGCGGCGUGCUUAACACAUGCAAGUCGAACGAAGAGCGAUGGUAGCUUGCUUCUAUCAAUCUUAGUGGCGAACGGGUGAGUAACGCGUAAUCAACCUGCCCUUCAGAGGGGGACAACAGUUGGAAACGACUGCUAAUACCGCAUACGAUCUAAUCUCGGCAUCGAGGAUAGAUGAAAGGUGGCCUCUACAUGUAAGCUAUCACUGAAGGAGGGGAUUGCGUCUGAUUAGCUAGUUGGAGGGGUAACGGCCCACCAAGGCGAUGAUCAGUAGCCGGUCUGAGAGGAUGAACGGCCACAUUGGGGAUGAGACACGGCCCAGACUCCUACGGGAGGCAGCAGUGGGGAAUCUUCCGCCAUGGACGACAGUCUGACGGAGCAACGCCGCGUGAGUGAUGACGGCCUUCGGGUUGUAAAGCUCUGUUAAUCGGGACGAAAGGCCUUCUUGCGAAUAGUGAGAAGGAUUGACGGUACCGGAAUAGAAAGCCACGGCUAACUACGUG
rnacentral:rRNA from 1 species